CUACUCUGUUCCAAACACUAUUCUGGACUAUACAGAUACAGAAAGAAAGAAGGUAUGCUGCUCAGUCUCAGGAAGCAUGUGGCCUACAAGGGUGGAAUGCAAGAGGACUCUAUGUAUGCAAGUGCACUACUGUAUUUACCAGCACUGAGCUCCAGGAUGGUGAGAGCAGAUGGAUAAAUUGACACCACAGAGCCAAAGCAUGGGCUAGAAGAUAAUUAUCCAGUGAAAGUGGCUGCAAGGAUCCCCCUCCUUUGCUGGAAGAUUCUGAGGACCAUGAUGGGGUGCUGACCGAGGAGGAAGUUGAAGGGGAGUGUGAAUUAAAAGAGAAAUUCUUUAUCUCCAUCAUGCCUUGAUAUAGAGACAUCUAAGAGGAUCCAAGACCUGGAACAUAUUGAGGGAUCGAACUCAGGACAUUGCGCUUACAAGGCAGGCGCCAUAACCAUUGAGCUAAAUCCCCGGCCCAAGACUACUUUUGAAUGCACCAAAAGCUUCUGACUCACCAUGGCAACAUCUUCCUGCUGAAAGGUAAACCCAGACCUUCUGCUUGGAUAUCUGUUCAGUGCUUAACACACAUUCGUGACGUCUGAGUGCCUAAUAAAUGUUCCUUUCUCAUACUUUUAAUCCAUCUCAAGGAAGGCCUUCAAUGAAAGGGAUGUCAAGUUGGAGCAGAGAG
rnacentral:lncRNA from 1 species